rnacentral:lncRNA from 1 species
CUCAUGAAGUUCAAGUCAGUACUCAAAAACCUCACAAGUUUCGAUGAUCUGAUCUCAUCUCCAAAACAAACAAAAAAAAACAUUCUGAAAACUUGACUUAUGAUCUGAACUUUUUUUUUUCUUCAGGACGGUGGAGGAGGCGAUAGAGAAGGCCAACUGCACCAAGUACGGGCUGGCUGCCGGCAUUGUGACCAAGAACCUCAACAUUGCCAACAUGGUGUCGAGGUCAGUGCGGGCCGGCACGGUGUGGGUGAACUGCUACUUCGCCUUCGACCCCGACGCGCCGUUCGGCGGGUACAAGAUGAGCGGGUUCGGCCGGGACCAAGGGAUGGUCGCCAUGGACAAGUACCUGCAGGUCAAGACCGUCAUCACCGCCGUCCCGGACUCGCCCUGGUACUGAUAAAUCAAAUCAAGCAGCAGCUAUAGCUAGAGUGUACCAUGUACCAUGAAUGCUGCAGCCUGUGUAGUGUUUUCGGAUGUUUUUCUCCUUAAUUCUGCUGCUGCUUGGUGUGGUUGUAUGUAGUUUGGUUGUGGGGUGAGAUAUGGUGCAGAUUAAAAGGGGUUCUGAUGAUCAUGAUCUGAUCCUUGUUUGGUUGAACUUGUUGAGAAAUGGAUGUAUAGAACUCAUGUGCCAUCGUUUGAAAUCGUACAAAAUGUGCCUCAAAGUUCAAAGCAGGUUGGAUUAUUCGAACGGGGUACUGUGCCCUGAGCCCCUGACCGCCUUGUUCGGUAUGGAAGGGGUUGAAGGGGUUUGGAGGGAUUUGAGGGGGAAUAAUUCCACACCACAAUAGGUGUGGAAUAAAUCCCCUCCAAUCCCUCUCUCUUGGGGAUUAACCGAACAUAGCAUUAACAGUAUGACUGGAGUUGUUUUAAUUGUGUUCUCUGAUAAAUGGCCAGAGCCAGAUGCAAGAAUGAAUACUGAGCAAUACCAUUAGGACGAAUGCAUGACGGUCUCAAGUUGAAAACGGAUGAUAUAGGCAGAUAUAUAAGCACUCAUAGAAACAACAGGAAACUUCUUAAAAUAUUUGCCACGCAUUUCAGGGCAUCGUGAUAUGCUACCGAACUUUUGGUUUCCAUUAGUCAGAUGAAAAUUCCAUGUCCUGUUUUGCCGAGCCAUGUUUUUUUUUUCCGAAAGAAGAAGAAGAAAAACCAAAGUAGGAAUUUUGUACAAUAACUUUUGUUGCACAGAAAUCAUCUUAUUGGUUUGGCAUUCAUUUCUGUAAAUCAAAACAUACCAUAUUCAUUUCUAAGUUAUGCACACACUCGAUUAGCAAGAGAAAAUAAUAUUGCCUCAAAAUAUAAACAGUUUUAGGGUUGGACACGAUGUUGAUGGGCUAUACCCAUAACAUGAUAAUUUGAUUUAAUCUAUCAUAAACUAGUGGUAAUUUGAUGCAUAUUAUGAAGUCUAAUCUUACCAGUCUGAGGAUGAACUGUCGAGGGUCAAGUCGAGGAUGACGAGCGGACGAGGAGGGGGAAAGCAGGAGCCAAGAGCUAACCGAGGCGAGGUAGCUGCAGCCUCAGAGUCGCAAGCAACAAGCUGUGUCGCCGGUCGCCACACGUGGAAUUGGGAUCGACAUCUCGGCAGUUAGUGUGGCGUGGAAUUAGGAUUGCACAGCAGCCAGCACUAGGGCCAAAAAAAAUUAGACGAUCGCACAGCCUAGUAGUGCC